AGUGAACGCUGGCGGUAGGCCUAACACAUGCAAGUCGAACGGCAGCACAGUAAGAGCUUGCUCUUACGGGUGGCGAGUGGCGGACGGGUGAGGAAUACAUCGGAAUCUACUUUUUCGUGGGGGAUAACGUAGGGAAACUUACGCUAAUACCGCAUACGACCUACGGGUGAAAGCAGGGGAUCUUCGGACCUUGCGCGAUUGAAUGAGCCGAUGUCGGAUUAGCUAGUUGGCGGGGUAAAGGCCCACCAAGGCGACGAUCCGUAGCUGGUCUGAGAGGAUGAGAGGCAAAACGGGAAAGGAGACACGGGCGAGAGGCCGACGGGAGGCAGCAGGAGGGAAGUGGGCGCAAGGGGCGAAAUGAGGACGGAGCAACGAAGGGGGAGGGAAGAAGGUAGUCGGAUCGGAAAACUCUUUGAUGAGGGAAAAAAAAAGGUGUCAGGAACGAUGCAAGGAGGGACGGUACCUAAUAAGAAAGCAACGGCUAACUACGUG
rnacentral:rRNA from 1 species